GUGGGAAAUGGACAUGGCAGUUUGAUCGCCAUCCAGCUGAGUUUACUUUGGUGAUGGUGAAACGAAUGACAAAACCCUCUCACCAGAUUAUGGUCCAUCAGUGAUUCUAGUCUUCUGUCAUCCAGAGGAGAAUAAGAGAGGAGGAAUAGUCAAGUUUCUAACAUCGAACUAUGCAGUGAUACCGAAAUGCAGAGUGAAAAGGGUGGCCACCAAACUCCUAAACCUCAACGGGGAUCCUCCUGGAGUAAGCAGACACUGCUGGACUUUAGGGCGUGACAACAGCAGACAAAUAAGGCAGGGAUAGCUUGUCCCACAAGACUUCAAGGCCGCAGACAAGACUAAGGCUUCAAGGCUACAAGGCAGGAAUAGCUUGUCUCGCAAUACUUCAGGGUCUGAAAUCAGGCCUCACCACAACACAACGGACUCAAGUCCCUCAACAUUAAUAAAAUUAUAACAACUUAAGGGGACCGCCUCAGUUGGGAGGCCUGAAAUACGACAAUUUUGAGGUCGGUGGGUGAAAUCGAGUUUUACUCAUUUCUGGUAACAUUGAUGUGUGCCACAGCCAGACGUAAAAUAUUAGUGCUCUAACUAACCUGUA